GAUGAACGCUGGCGGCGUGCCUAAUACAUGCAAGUCGAGCGAACAGACGAGGAGCUUGCUCCUCUGACGUUAGCGGCGGACGGGUGAGUAACACGUGGAUAACCUACCUAUAAGACUGGGAUAACUUCGGGAAACCGGAUCUAAUACCGGAUAACAUGUUGAACCGCAUGGUUCAACAGUGAAAGACGGUCUUGCUGUCACUUAUAGAUGGAUCCGUGCCGCAUUAGCCAGUUGGUAAGGUAACGGCUUACCAAGGCAACGAUGCGUAGCCGACCUGAGAGGAUGAUCGGCCACACUGGAACUGAGACACGGUCCAGACUCCUACGGGAGGCAGCAGUAGGGAAUCUUCCGCAAUGGGCGAAAGCCUGACGGAGCAACGCCGCGUGAGUGAAGAAGGUCUUCGGAUCGUAAAGCUCUGUUAUUAGGGAAGAACAAAUGUGUAAGUAACUAUGCACGUCUUGACGGUACCUAAUCAGAAAGCCACGGCUAACUACGUG
rnacentral:rRNA from 1 species